GAGAAGUUGACAACCGUUCCAUUGUUUAUAAGGCAAGGCAAGUAGAUCCAAUGCAUUUGUAUUACUGUCACUUUUGAAAGAGUUCGCUGGUUUUUUUUUAGUGCUGUGUCUGCAGUGGUAGAUAUUUAAGACUAGAAAGGUGGCUGUUCUCAGUCAAUAUCCACAUAUAACAUUUUAGUUUGUAAAACAAUAACAUGAUGUGGCUGUCACAAUAAAAGGGACUGGGCUUGGGGGUGGAGGGAGAGUGGAACUUCUGGCCUGCAUUCCUGUAUGUCAUUCAGCAUCCUGCAAUUACACUGCAUGAUUUUCAGUGCUGGCUUACCCACAAGAGUGAAAACUUUGGUCAACGAUGUUUUUAAAACAGAUACUGUUUUUAUUACUGUGAAGCCCAUUUUCAUGGAAACGAAAGAAGCAUGACAUAGCUUGCAAAAGCUCAAGAAAUUUGUGUAUUUGAGUCUCCCAUCUAGGUCAGCUCCUUGGCUUAAGCAACAGAAAAUAUUAGUUUCAGAGACAUCUCUGAGCUCUGUGGACAGCUUCUGUGGUUAAAUGUUUUCUUCAAAAUAAUACAUAAUUGACAGUCCAGACAAGGAGGAAUGUGUGGAAGCAGAAGUUCAGCAUUCCCACUGUGUAAUGUGUCCUCUAAGACAAAGUCGAGUAGGGCCGUUAUGAGAGUAAUGGCUGUUUCUGUUAGAGAAGCUAUUGUACUGUACGGCUAUUGUACCGUACAGCUGUCGUGCUGCUCAGCUGUUGUAACCUACAGCUAUUGUAGAACUGUUGUACUAUAUAGCUGUUGUAACUAACGUACAGCUAUUGUA
ensembl:lncRNA